AGAGUUUGAUCAUGGCUCAGAAUCAACGCUGGCGGCGUGCCUAACACAUGCAAGUCGCACGAGAAAGGGGAGCAAUCCCUGAGUAAAGUGGCGCACGGGUGAGUAACACGUGAAUGAUCUACCUCCGAGUGGGGAAUAACUGAGAGAAAUCUUAGCUAAUACCGCAUAACACUUACGAGUCAAAGCAGCAAUGCGCUUGGAGAGGAGUUCGCGGUCGAUUAGUUAGUUGGCGGGGUAAUGGCCCACCAAGACGAUGAUCGGUAUCCGGCCUGAGAGGGCGCACGGACACACUGGAACUGAAACACGGUCCGGACUCCUACGGGAGGCAGCAGUGGGGAAUUUUGCGCAAUGGGGGAAACCCUGACGCAGCAACGCCGCGUGGAGGAUGAAAUAUCUUGGUAUGUAAACUCCUUUCGAUGGGGAAGAUUAUGACGGUACCCAUAGAAGAAGCCCCGGCUAACUUCGUGCCAGCAGCCGCGGUAAUACGAGGGGGGCAAGCGUUGUUCGGAUUUAUUGGGCGUAAAGGGUGCGUAGGCGGUUUGGCAAGUCUGAUGUGAAAUCUAUGGGCUCAACCCAUAGUCUGCAUCAGAAACUGCCGGGCUUGAGUAUGGGAGAGGUGAGUGGAAUUUCCGGUGUAGCGGUGAAAUGCGUAGAUAUCGGAAGGAACACCUGUGGCGAAAGCGGCUCACUGGACCAUAACUGACGCUGAUGCACGAAAGCUAGGGGAGCAAACAGGAUUAGAUACCCCAGUAGUCC
rnacentral:rRNA from 1 species